rnacentral:lncRNA from 1 species
AAAAAUAUUCGUUAAGUUUCUGAAAAUAUAGAUGGAGAUAAAUAAGGACCGGAGGCGGGGCGGGGGGAGGUGAGGAAGGGAAACAUAACCAAUUUAGGGAUGGAAUUCAGUGCGAUUUCUGUCACUGGUUUGCAGCUUGUAUUUUUAAUAAGAACUGCUUCCUUGUCUGAGAACCCGCGUGGUGCCGGGUGAGGGAAAAGAGCCACUGAGACUGGGCGGGAGAUGAGAGAUCAAAAGGGAGAAAAAUUAGGCAGAGCUGACUUGCGAUGAAAAGAGCUGCACUCCUGGAGGGCUGUAGGUGGAGGGUUUAAAGCCCAAUGGAGGUAUCUGAAUCUAAUCCUAUGUAAUACAUAAGGAGAAAAUAGAAUUGGAAAUGCAGAUGGGUGAUACUGUUAUAAACUGGCAUACAAACUGAACAAGUGGUUUACAGAAAUCUGCCCCCUUUUUUUUUUUUUUUUUUUUUUUGCCAGACCCUCGGCAUAUGGAAAUUCCUGGGCUAGGGGUUGAAUCUGACCACAGCUGCAACCUACACCAGAGCUGCAGCAAUGCCAGAUCCUUAAUCCAUUGCACCGGGCCAGGGAUCAAACCUGCGCUGCCCAAAGACCACACCAGACACUUAACCCGCUGCACCAUAGCAGGAACUCCUACAGAAGUCUGUCUUAAGGUCUACAAGUAUCAUGUUAUUCCACUUCUUGCAAACCUCUUAUUACUUAUAAAGAACUGCUUCCCUGACCAAGAGAAUUCAUCAAAGACACCAUCAACGAUUUGUUCACAAUGACCCAAAGCAUCGACAAAAUCAAAACGAUUUUUCAAAAUUGCUCAUUGAGGAGUUCCUGUCGUGGCUCAGUGGAAACAAAUCCAACUAGGAACCAUGAAUUUUGGGUUUGAUCCCUGGCCUCACUCAGACGGUCAAGGAUCCAUGCAUUGCCACGAGCUGUGGUGUAGGUCGCAGACAAAGCUUGGCUCUGGCGUUGCUGUGGCUGUGGUGUAGGCCGGUGGCUACAGCUCUGAUUCGACCCUAGCCUGGGAACCUCCAUAUGCUGCAGGUACAGCCCUAGAAAAGGCAAAAUAAAAUAAAAUAGCUCAUUGUUUUGGCACUUCUGGUCUUUCCAUUAUAUCAGAAUUUUAGACCUUCCAAAAAGGACGUCUUAUUAAUCUUAUUCAUGGCACUGACAUCUAUUCUCCCAACUGGGUUUUCAUCCUAAGAUUGAGUUAUAUGAAGUCUUGAAUACACAUAAGUAUGUAAAUGACAUCAAUAUGGCAUAUAAUGCUUUACAAAUAACCCAAAUGGUACAGAAGUGUAUCUUCAAGAGAUAAUAACAAGAAAGUUGCUCAAAUAAAAACAACUGGAAUUUCUGAAAUGUAGAGGACUUGCUUUGAUAAUUUACUGCCACUGAGGUUUAGACAACGUGGUAUUUACCGUCUACAUGUUUUUCAAAAGGAGUUGCAUCCUCUUUAGUGCUUUAGGUUUUAAAAAAAAAUCACCUUAUCUUCAUUUGUAAACUUAAUUUUGAAAAUCCAAUAUUCCACUAGCUAGUUGUCAGUUUCACUGGUCUUGAAGUAUUAACAUCUCUGGCUCUUGAAAUAAAAACAAAAAGUAAAGGAGUUCCCAUUAUGGCUCAUGGUUAACAAAGCUGACCAGCAUCUAUGAGGAUGCGGGUUCAAUCCCUAGCCUUGAGCAGGGGGUUAAGGAUCUGGCGUUGCCAUGAGCUGUGGUGUGGGUCGCAGACACGGCUCCGGUUUGACCCCUAGCCUGGGAACUUUCAUAGGCCGUGGGUGCGGCCCUAAAAAGACCAAACAAAGAAAUACCAGUGGACAUUUCAUAAUUAUCGAGUGAGAACUGGUCCCCUAUCAGUAUGGGAACUGCCAGAUUAAGAAUUCUACUAUUAAAAAAAAAAAAAAAA